UGAAAUCAAAACAUAUAACUUGAGCAUAAACAUACAUAACAUGUCUUGAACAUUCAUUUUAAAAAUAAAGUUUCAAUCAAAAAUUUCAAAGCAUCAGUUAAUUUCUGAAUUAUUCUAAACUAACAAUCCAUAAUUCAGCAAGUGAUGGAACAAAACUAGGCCUUGGUCUUGGAGGAUCAUUAUUAUCUCUAACAUAAUAUUUCUUUGACUUGACCACACCGUAUUUUCAUAAAAGAGAUGCAUAUCCUAAUCGAUGCAUAGCUACAUCAACAUCUACUGAAGUAGUAUUCCUUCGCUCAAGUACUCCACAUAUCCAUCUUCAAUUACACCACAAUCCCU
rnacentral:lncRNA from 1 species